rnacentral:rRNA from 1 species
GACGAACCGUGCGAACGUUAUUCGGAAUCACUGGGCUUAAAGCGCGUGUAGGUGGGGCGGCACGUCGGCCGUUGAAAGCCCCCGGCUUAACCGGGGAAGCGGCGCCGAUACGACCGCCCUCGAGGGACGUAGGGGGAGCUGGAACUUCCGGUGGAGCGGUGAAAUGCGUAGAGAUCGGAAAGAACACCAACGGCGAAAGCACUCUGCUGGGCCGACACUGGCACUGAGAGACGAAAGCUAGGGGAGCGAAUGGG